AGCGUUCAGACAGUGGGCAGUUGCCUUCCUGGCAAAUUAUUCUCCAUAACUUCGUGCGUGAGAGCAGACGGUUUUCUUCUAAUGUUGGGUUUUUUCAACGUCUCCUUUGGAGGAGCUGCCGGUUCAGUGGGGCGGACUCAAUCAGGAGUGGAGCAGGCAGCCCCCGGUGGAAAACAGUGACAUGUAACAAAAGCAGAACACCAUUUUAAAGCUCCAAUAAAAUCGUAAAUCACUUGUGUUUAAAGAGGCACCAGGGCCACUGUGUAAACUGAGGUACAGUUAAAUAUUUAUAGUUUAAAGGAUUAUUUUGUCUAUUUUAGAAGAAACAUCAAGUUCACUUGGUUCAGGGCUCUGUCUACACAGAAAUACAGGCACAACAAUGCCCUGCAGAAGAGCUGAAGGGUUUGGAUCAUGGCAGUAGCUCCCCAAAUUUAUUUUCGUUUUUUUUAAUGUGUGUGUGUGUGUUUGUGUGUGUGUGUGUGUGUAGAGGGAGGAGGAGGUGGGGGAGAGGAAUAUAUAACUGAACUGCAGAAAACACCUUUCUGGAAACAAAGGCAAGGAGCAGCAUUUCAAUUGCAAAUGCAUCAGCCAGAGACCAAAUAACAGUUGUGGGAAGACACUCAUAAAAUUAAUGUACCUUACUUACAAAAAAAAAAAAAAAAUCAAAUGCUUACUACAGUUACCUCGGUGCAGCUUAAUAAAAAAUUAGCCUUACUGACAGUCUUGUCAACAUCUUAAGUAAAUUAUCAUAGCGCUGGUCUUUGGAGAAGAGACCCCACACUUCUUGCUAAAACACCUCCUAUCGUUAAUCUUAAACCACUUGAAGAUUAUGAUGGAAAGAAUGGGAUCGCUAGCCAUUAUCAUCUCAAAUUGCUGUUAAAAAGUCCGCUGUUUAUUUUUGCAACCAAAGCAAAUGUAUCUGGGAAAUACAGAAGAGGGAAGAAAGGAAAACACAAGAAAGGCAGAACAAUUGAGGCGAAUCCUGUUGCAACCCCGAUGAUAAACACAUGGAAAAGGCUGUUACUGCUCUUUGGAUUGCUGGAAUUUGGGCAGACGUUAGAAAAAUAAACAAAGCGAUGGCUCCACAUCAGCUCUGUAAAUGCAAUGAUACAGUCAAUGGAAGGAUUUGGCAUAAACGGGGCAAUCUGCUGUGUUCCAGUCAUUCAACCUGAAAUGUUAUCCGCGUACCUUUGCACCUUAAGUGAAUGCACAGUUCGAGGCGAACGGUGCAUGUAGCUGAAUACAACCAAAAUGCAGAUUGUAAAGUCCUUCUUUAAAAUGCAACAGUUCACAGGAACGUUUAACAAUACAAUGUGAAACAAUCGACUCCCCUCCCCAAAGACAGAGAGAGAGAGAGAGAGAGAAAACACUAAAACCUGAGGAUGCAAAUUAAACUAAACUAAACUCAUCUCCAUGCUUUGGCGAGUUGCAUUUUCCUGUUGUUCCUACGAGGACUCCAUUUCGAUAUCAGUGUAAUAAAGAGAGAGGGAGCAAAACGUUCAUUUUACACAGUAGUAAGCGGCUUCUUGAUCAGUGCUGGAAUGAAUUUCGGGAGUGGCGCGCAUACAGCUCUGCGCGAGGAAGAAAUGGGUUGCGCGUUGUCGCAGCGAUAUUUUCCGGAGCAAUCAAACAGACCCGCAGCUCAGGCGCCCUGAGGGAUGAAUGGGUUCCCUGCAGCACCGGCCUGGGGGGCUAAGGGAUCUCGAAAGGUGAGGUUUGCCCAGCUCCUGCCCAGAGUCUGCCACUCCUUGCAAGGAAGCCUGAGUCUGGGGAGGGACGGAGCGAUCAGGAGCUGGGGGCUCUUUGCCAGGGAGGAGGCUGGAGUGGGGUGAACGCAUCUGCACGCAGGCAUGAAACCUUGCGAGCUCUGGGCGAAUUCUCCUCGCCUCCUCCCCCUUGUCUUCCUGCGUCUCCUCCGCCUCUGCAGCCAGAGCCAACAAGGGGCCGCGAUUCGUUUGGCCGAGUUAGUUAAAAUAAAUAAACCCACGAAGAUUCACUGGCGAGCAAUGCCGCAUCGACCCGAAGGUUUAUUAAGAAGCGAGUCUGCUCCAGUCCCUCUUAAAGGCGAGAGGGUUGCAGCCAAGCAGAAGUCAAGUCACACUUGUUGUUAUUCAAUUCAAACUCCCUCUUGCCCUCCCCUGUGCCACCCCGGGGAAUCUCACACACCAAAGCCAUUGGCAAUCGCUACCCACCUCUCAUCAGCCCUUUGCCACCCGCCGCAGAGCAGAGUGGGGAAGGGAGCUGGCACAGCUAGCCAAAGCAAACACAGCCCUGAGUUAAACUCAUUUCCUCAGCGAGCCUACGGGACACGUUGGGAGAUGGCAUCAAACCCGCUCAGCUUGUUCAUCUUCUCCCUCCGCUCCGAUCUGAGCAAGGAUGCAAGGAGAGGGCUGCCACAAAGUGCUUUUUCUGUCUUGUUGGCGAUGGGGAUUGUUAACCCGAAUAAAAAUCCUUACAGCUGUCUCCUGGUGAAGAUGCAAUUGGUGUUAUUGCCAAUCACGAUUAGCAAUAAUUAGCCCGAAAGCGUGAAGGAUUCAGCUGCCAAGGUAUUCUGAAUAACCUGUUUGGAACAGGUAACAAAACAUUAGGUCCAAACACAAACUAACUGCAAACUUCCAGUAACAGGGCUCUUCCAAGAGGAUCAGAUUCCAAAUAAGAUCCUAGCUCCUGGCUCCUCAUGCUACCUUUUCUCUCAUGUAGUUUACAUAUCCAUUAUUAUUUUUUCUACAUCUGUAUUUUCCCCCACAAAGGUCUCUGCAAACUUGAAGUAGCAACUAAGCAUCUUCUCCAAACAUCUUUACUUGUUUACUCAGCUCUCUCAAUUUUAAAUACAAAGUAAACAAACUGGAGGGAUAAUGCAGUCCCAGAGCCAAGCCAGAGCUGCUCUGUUUAUGCUCUGAAACUCAUCCUUAGGCCCUCUGAAUUGGGAAAGUUUAAAUGAAGUGUAACUAGAAGAAGGUCACAGGUGACUGACAAGUUCAAGCUACUUAUCUCAAUUAUCAAAUAGUUUUAUUUCCAAAUUGUGUUCAAUUUGAUUUUCCUGCCUCGCCACAAAUUAGCUUAGAAAAAAAUCAAAUGAAAGCAGACAAUUUAAGCCAAAUCCUGUAAACCAUUAUUUAUUUGUAAAAUCAUUUUUGUGAUAUAUACUCCCAUUAAUGGUUAUGCGGUUGCCAAAUCUUUCCAAGUGGAUUUAGAAAUGUAGCCAUCAAAUUAUUUCAAAGGCAGGACUAUUAGGGACAAAAAUAAUUAUGAACUUUCAGAAGCAUUAUAAAAAAUAAGUUUCUGAAUGUUGUCUCUUUAAAUUUCACUUAAAUUUUCAUUUCAUUUAAGCCUUGAGGCACAGUAGAGAGAUAUUCAGUGUCUAACAAGGAGUUUGGAAAAUAAUGCUCAGUACUAGAAUAGAGCACAAUUUCUCCAUAAAAUAUGGAUAAGGAAUCAAUUCAUAAACACAAAUACCCACUAGAACUGAGUUUUAAUAUAGCAUUUCAUAUGAAAAUUUUUAUAUGCAUUAUUUAGGAGAUAACAAAAGCUCUUCAAAUCAAGGCUUAUACAGUCACAUCUGGGGGUUUUUCCCUUCUAAUUUUCAUUUUUUAGAGAAAAUAUUAGGAACAAAACUACAUUGCCCCCUGUUACCAUAUAUAUUAACUAUUACCAUCAGCUUUUAAUCAGCAACAUGUAUAUUGCCUUAGAUUUACAGAAUCCAUACCAUGAUGCUUCUUUCAGAGGACAGUAAAAUAAGGAUACUAUCUUUAUUCAGUUGUAAGAUUUGAUGUUAAAAAACAAAAGCACAAACACACUUGUCUUACCAUUUGUUUUAAGUAUAUUUAAGUACACACACACUGAAACUGAAGUAAUGAACGUUAGAUGACAUCAUAUAAGCAAUCAGAGAACUGAGAACACAGACCUCUCCAAAUAAGAAGUGGUUAGAGUGAAUUCACCUAUAUUAGACCCAGACUUAUCCCUAACCAAAGGUGUUCUACUUGGGACAUUUAGUAAAUUUUCCUGUGUAAAGUCCAAUCCCUGUCACUGUCAGUACAAAUUCUUUAGGCCUUCCAGUCUAAAUAAGCUAUCUCCAGUAACCAGGGAAAGAUUAAAAACCUACUCUCAGGUUUCAGAUAGUUUGAUAUAAUUCUUUUGCUAACCCCAUUUUUUUUAAUAACAUGAUUACUCUAUAAUCUAGAUGAAAGGAUAAAUAUUGAAGAAGGCUCCUUUGUGAGCCAUAUUUUUUUUCCAGUGUACACCAACACAGCUUUGUCCUUUGAAUGAAAAGGCAGACAAAGUGUUUUCAAAAUAGAAACACCUAGGAUUAUUUUGAAAAACAUAAGCAGUUUUUUAAAAAUACUCUGGAGUUUUCUGAACAACCCUGAUGUACUCACAUUCUUAUCUCAACUUCUUUUUUUUUUUACAAUUGUAAGUGGAUAGUCAAGCUAAAUUGAUGCUUUAUGUAUAUCUUGUCUCAAUUUGUAAAACUAUUCUCUGGAAGGAGAUAAUUUGAAAAAAAAAAUACAAAAAAGAAGAAACGAUACCACUGACAACAAUUUACUUAAAUUCACAAACCUUGAAAUUGAUGCAUCUCCUAUCAAUCAUAGUCAGAAGAUUCAGUAAAACACAUCCAACAUUUGUAUAUCAAAAGUGGGACUAAAAAAACCUGUUUUGUUCAAUUUAAACAUCCUUCACCGUGUUGUAGUUUUAUAUGCCGAUAUUGAUGUAUGCACUUAUUACAAGUUAGAUUUCUCCUUUCAAACAUCCAUACGGUAUUAACCUCACAAAAUUAAAGUGCAUGCCAUUCUAUUGUACAGAUGUUUGUUCUCACUGGCUUACUGACAAUGAAAUAUUUAUUAAAUAGUAAUAAGGCGAUAUUGACUUCUCUAUUCUGUCAAUAUGAAGAUUUGUUGAUCUGUGAGGUUAAUAUUGAUGAGGCAGAGUGAGGUAAACAUUUGGUCAGGAGGGUAAAUAAAUUCUGAUAUUGACAUAAAUAAAACUUAGUACUAAUAUGAAAACUAACCUCUUUUGUUUUUAUUGGUUACACACACAUUAGUGCAACCUAUCAGCAUGUGAAUGCAUAGAGCCAUGUCGUAUGCUCACGCCAAUGUCAACACUUGACACUAGUUUUGCAGAACGUAGUCCAAAAAUGUCUGUCAAUGGUAUUUAAAAUUAAGCUCAAAUGAUGCCAAGCACUUGUGGUCUUUAGUCAUGCUCUGUGUUCAUUUCAAGCAGACAGUGUUAGUUUACAAAUGGAGUAGUUCCUUAAAAUACUACUGGAUGGGCUCUGUUUAUGUCCUCAAUAUUCUUCAUAUGAAGGAGACUUCUGUUCCUGCUUAAGAAUGGCUUUG